AAUGUAAAUGUGUAUAUAUAUAUAUAUAUAUUUUUUUUUUUAUUUUUUUUUUUGAGAAAUGGGAUAGUUCAUUAAGUAAGGUAAUUCCUCCCCUCUGUUCCUGAGUCCUUCUUGGUUUAAUCUAUUUUGGUUUAAUCUCUUUUGCUUUUUGAUGUUGAACAGAUACUGCUGGCAUUAAUCUUUGGGACCAUUAUGUCAUGACAAAGCCUACUGCUGCUCUCAGACUACUCCACCAAUGAAGUAUAUGUUCCCAUUUAGGACACUAUUAGCAUCGACUGGAGCACGCUGACUGGUGCAAACGUUGCCCUUUGAUUUGGUUGCUCACCUUCUGCGCACAUACCUUGUCGGAUGAUAUUUAUUGAGUAUUUAAAUUACUCCUACCUGGUUUGUGUAGUGUUUGCUUUAAUAUAAGCUGAAAUCUACAAAACAUGGAGAAAAGGAAGGAUGGAAGAGAGGUGAUUAUCUAGCAGCCGUAGCUGCUUCUUGCUGUCACACUACUGAGAUUUUCAGGUGUAGCCUCAUGAGAACAAUUAGAGAACACCCGCGUGGCAGCAAGGAGGAAACAGCCGCCUCAGUGGCUCACUUGUACAGCUGCAAAUAGCAGGCCCUUUUGGCUUACUAAGGCACAAAGGUGGCUAAGACAUGAAGAGACCUACUGCAUCGUGCAACAGAAAGGAUUGAGUGUUCUUAAAACCAUCACCCCAGGAGGUAUUUCAAUAUAUUUUCAAGCUUAAUGCUUCAGAUAGCUUUCCUAUCCAGGCCUUUUCCAAUGCAAAGGCAAGAAAACACACUUCCAAUCGUGUGUAACAUUUUAAAGUAGUACUAAUAUUAAAGACUUUUUGCUUUUCAGCAGAGUAGGGUUAAUAGAUUUUACUUGUCUGAACUGUAGCAAGUACGUGAUGUUCUUAGCGCUAACACAAGCCCGUUUGAUGAAUCUAGGUCUGUGUCUCAAUCUUCUUCACUCUGAAGGAUGUUAUUUGAGCUUCUGUCAGAAGGAAACCACAUCUAAAGUCUUCUUCUGUGCAUUAGUUUUCCUUCCUUUUUUUCCCAACAAAGUUCAGCUUCUAAGAAGGCGUAGGUGUUGACAGCCUGGGAGAAAUUACUGGCGUCAGUGAUGCUUUGUUACAGGCUGGAUGCACAAACACAGACCCAGACCAUCAGGACUGCAUCAAGGCUUCUCUGCCACUUACUGCAAGAGAAGCCUAGGCAGGGGAUGGGUGCCAAAACACCACUGAGGAUUUUUCAGCUGCGGUGCCUGCAGAAGCUGUUUGGAAUGGAAAAGUCUCCUCGAGUGUUUGCUGCUGUGGGUGGUAGUGCUGUGUGUGCCCCGUCCUGGCUCCCAGGUGUUGAGGAUCUGGGGGCAUUCAGCAUCAGCUGUGCAUCCAGAAGAUUGCUGGCUUGUUCCCAGAGAUCUGAAAUCCCGUUCUUCUCUCUGUUUUAAUGAAGCUCAGAGUGACCAGUGUUGCACCCAUACAGGGAUGCAAAUUCCAUUCUUCUUUUUAAGGUGAACUUUCAUAUAGAGCAUCCAUAUACGAAUUUUGGUGCCCGAUCACUAAAGCAGCAUUGUGGCUCCGCUUAAGAACGUCUGCUAGAAGGCACACUGUGCCUGCAGGUGACUGUAAUGACUGACACCGAUUUCAACAAGAUAUUACGAGCCUUUUCUUCCCAGACAGUAGAAGGAAUAUUUCAUUGACAGGUGUUUUAAAGUAUUUUCUGUACACUGCCUUGGCUCAAUUUGUCUAUAAUGAAUGAAAUGAAUUUUCGGGAAAAGGGGAUUAUUAAUGGUUCUAAUUUAUUAAGCAUGCAGUGAUCUUUAAUUUUCUCCUCCUAAAAAGAAAGGUUCACUUAGAGACCUUGAGAUUUUUAAUUGUGUGUUGGAAUAUAUUUUUUUUUUAACAACAAAGCAUUAAUUCUUGUUAUAGACCCAUUUCUCUUUUUACAUGAAAUGAUUUGACCAUAACUGAUACUGACGGGAAAUAUAAACAGUCUAAACAAAGUCUGGCAACAAACAGAAUCAUAAUAAGUACUGAUUUAUAGCCCAUGAAAACACUCUAAAGUCAGGGAGGUUGCGUGGGAUAUAGAUGAUGGCACAUUUUGUUUUUUGUGCUUGUAUCUUCAGCUGUUUGCUGUCUUGAGAAUGUAAAACACAUUCCUUGUUGCUUUGACUGGGCACUCUUUGAAUCUGCAUUGUAUGUCGACAAAAGGAAUUGAAAAGCUGUGGAUUUAUUUAUUAUGAUUGAAGAAAUCUCUUCAAAGGACUAUUGAUUUUUUUUUUUUUUCCCACAUCUAUAAAGUAUAUUUGUUUUCACUGUUAUUUUCACUCUUAUAAAGAAAACUGUUUACACAGAUUUAGUUUGGAUCACAGUAUCCAUGAACAGAAAAUAAAGGUUAAAUUUCUGAAAG